UAAUCAACUUUCAGAAUUAUCCAAGAAAAGUUUAGAUUUCACAACUUUAUUGUAAACUUAAAUAAAUAAUAUGCUUGUAUGUAAUGCCAUUAAUGAUACAACAAACUAGUUAUUCUUGGAUUCCACCACUUGUUGACAGCAUUUCUCUCGAAUCCGAUGUUUUAGAAUUAGUUCAUUUGGGUUAUUUACUGCUUAUAGUUCAUGGGGUUAUUAUUGCUCAUGGUUUUGCACUGCUGGCAGCGGGCGCACAAAAGCACAUGAGUCGCUGUCAUACCGCGCAACGUUUUGCGGACGGGAGGAAUCGAGUGAGUACUUGUUGCGAGCCAUACGGCGGCGGCAGCGUCCCGGAGCUGUCAAAUAUUGCGCACAGCUCUCAGUGUUCAGUCAGUGGAGUAAGCAGACUAAUCCACCAGACAAACAACUCGGAAGAUUAACCGCUUUUCACCCUGGCAAAACUCAUUUUUUUGUCUCCACACCCGGAAGCCUAUUUUUGAAACUGUUUGUUCAUUAUCAAUUUGUCACAUGGCUUUGGAGAAUUCAAUAACAACAAAAAAUGGCGACAAUCACGUUGCUCUGUGUGGUCUUGCUGCGUCAUUAAAAAUAUUCAUGUAAACACGGAGAAUUAAACGGGGAAAACGCAGGCUCUCUUUUUUAGACACUGGUGACAACAAACGGAGCCCUCCGCCCCGACACGGUGCCUGUCCUCAGCCCUGUUUUACUUAUUAUUACACAGGUUUUUUUGCUUUUCGCGUUUUGACACGAACAUUUUUGGCCCUGUGCAGCGAGGGGCUAAUGGAGUUGUUUACAUGAAGUGCGGAGGGCGGACUGAAGAGGAGGAGGAGGAGGAGGAGGAGCCGCGACGUCGGACAGCGACGCCACCGGACUGCUCGAGAGGCUUCUCGCGCCGAGGAGGGGGGCGGAGCCCGCGAGGAGAAUCAUAACAAGUCUGACGUCACUCGGCCUUGUGGUACUAUGAUCUACACUCAGCUCCACAUUGUUGACAAUAGGGGGAGCUAAAGAUCCAUUGCUGUGCAUUGUGGUCGACACAACAAGGUCUACAGCUCUCUCCCACUGUGUGAUCUGUUUCUGAAACCUUAAUAAUGAAUAUGUUCACACCAAAGUUGGUUAAAACAGAAGUUCUCAUUAAUUAUGAGUCAUGUAAAAUCAGUCUUUCACAUCCGACUUGUACAGAAUGCUGCUGCUAGAAUGAAUCAGGCACUAAGAGACCAUAAUCAUCCCCGUUUUAGUAAAUCUACACUGGCUAUCAAUGAAAUUUAGAAUUAAUUAAUUUUAAGAUCCUACUGAUAACUAUUAGAGCACAGAAGGGUGUAGUCCCUAGUUAUAUUGCCAACCUUUUAACUCUUUAUGAGCCAGAACACAGCUUUGGAUCCUUCGGAAAGACACUUUUGAUUGUUACAUAAUCGAGGCUCAAGACUGAAGGAAAUUAGGCUACAUAAAUCUGUUAUAUUUUUUAAAUGUCUUAUAAAAACACACGUUUAUAAUCAAGCUUUUAUAUUAAUUUACACAGUAUUUCCUGUGUAUCAUUAUGAUUUAUUUUGUAUAAUUUGUUAUUUUAUUUUAUUUCAGCACACUGUAUUAUGCUUUAUGUGUUAUGUUUUUAAUUUCUAAUAUCUAUAUCUCUGAUUGCUGGUGUGUUUCUGGUUGUAUCUGUUCACUUCUUCUGUUGCUGUUAAUAUUAUUUAUUGUUGCUGCUGUUUCUUGUCUUUUUUUAUAUUUAUUAUAAUUAUUAUUACAUAGCUGAAUUGUCUUAAUCCAAGUUUGAUAACACAAAAAAUAAGCUCUAAAUCAUUUCUCCAUUACUAUGUAAUUAUUAAACAGUUGAUCUCUAAUGAAAAUCUAUAAUGUUUAAUAUGACAUCAAUAUAUCACAGAUCAGCACAUUUGUUCUGAUCUUUGAUGUCAAGACACUGAAAUAAAUCAUGUUUUGAAUAAUGUA